AGAGCGGCAUUAGGAGAGAGCUGGUGUGGAAGGAGCACGAGGACUUGCAGCACGCAGAACAGAAAUGAAAACAUCCACCCAAACCAGCAAUCACAGCUUCUAAGGAGCUGCUCAAGCACAGUGCUGCUGACCGCCGCCCUGCCCUGCCCGGGAACAGCACGUCCAUCCAGCCCGUGGUUCCCCUUCUUUUGCAGCAUGGCUCUGACCGCUGUCACAGUUUUUCCAUUCUUCUCCCCACGUGCCAGUAAUGAGGACAGCCUGGCCCCGGUGCUAAUCAGCGAAAAAUCACAAGGGACAAAUCUUCAUAAAGUGGACCUGCCGGAGACCUAGAGACAUGUGCCACUCGCCCCCUGAUUCUGGGAGUGUGGGGACCACUCGAGAACUCCUCCGAGACCACCUCUUUCCCUUGUUCCUUUGGGUGUUUGAAGCCUGUUGCCUACUGCUUUUCCCCUUUUCCCUUUAAAAAAAAUUCUCCAUUUUUUCACUUAGAAAAAAAAAUUAUUUAUACGAUAGAGAUCCACUAAUUAAAGCCAUUUUCUGGUAUUUGGUUACUGGAGCGUUUGAUGUCUCUCUGACAAGACCAUGAAAUGCACAGGGUGUCCACAGGGACAGAAUUUGCUGAACACGGCUCUUUGUAAAUGAGGGGACAUAGUGUCGCAGCAGCUCAUGAAUAUGAAACGCCCAUGAUGCCACCUCAGUGGACUUGGGAACACAGAUGAAUCCUGUCAUGUGCUAAAUGAGACCAAUUUCUUUCACUUAACUUCAUCUUCAAUCAGACCUUCUUCCAUUUGCCUGUUUAAAAUUCCCCAUACGUGAUGCAGAAGGUAACAGCAUUCAGUAAAACAAAGUUUUGCAGCUGCAGAGAAAAAUCAUAAUGAUCUCUGGUUUAAAGUUGCCUUCUCCUAAUAAUAUGGAUGUUGUUUUCUUUCGCUUGUGAGCCCUGCUAAUGUCUGUUGAAUUUGGGCAGAGAGUUAGACUGCUCUUACUGGGGUAUCCCAAAGCAGCAUAUCCACAUUCCUUUCUUGUAGAUUGGCCGUUGAGCUUGGCUAUGAAUAUGAGCCAUUAGCAGCCUGUGAAAGCCCUGCUAUGGCCCGGGCACAGAGUGCUUGGGAAGAAACUAUGGGUAACUGAGCCAGGCUUUUGUGGGUGAGAACUCAGUAGAUGAAGUAAGAGAACCAGAGGUCCGGAAACAUCCUGAGGGAACCUGGUCACUUACUAAGAUGUCCAGUGAGAAAGUGCUGGAAUACAGGACAGACUUCAUGUAGUUCUAGAAACACCCUUCUGGACAUGCACAAAUCCCUGACCAAGACAAUCAGUAAAGGGCUAGAGAUGUAGCUUAGCAGUAGCGUGCUUGUCUAGCAUGCUGCCAUGUGUAAGAUCCAGGGACCAAAAAGAAAAAAAGUCAGCCAAGGGUACAGCCUGCAAGGACACAGGAGAGGGCCUUUGCCUGGGCAGGGGCUAGUCUGAGAGGCCUCCUUUGUUUCUUCCUUCCUGUGGGACUUAAGUGUAUGUUCCAGGAGAAGAGCCUGGGUAAUGUUUGGGGUACAUUCAUGGCAAUCUGGGUCAAGGUAAGAAAUCACUUUGUGCUUUCAGACAGGCAGACAGCUAGAUGGAAAGGCAGGCUAGCACACAAUGUAUCAUGGAGAUUUGGGGCUGCCUAGCUGGAAGAGGCAGCUCAUCUUUUUACUGUCUGGUCACAGGAGCGGAACGGGAUCCCUCUGGGACUUUGCUAGGUAGUUAGCAUUUUAGUCUGCGUACAUGAUGAUAUUAUCCAUGAUGAAUGUAUUUCAGAGUGAAUGACAGCUUCUCACACCUUUGAAACUAGUUGUGAUCAAUCUAUUGGUGUUUCUGUACAUAUUUACUAUUUCUGUUACUUAUUUUGGAACUUAAUUUAUCUCUGUGGCUUCAUCUGGUAGAUCUGCUAGAUGGUGGCAGACUAGUGUUCCCGUAUCAAGAUGAGUUUCUUGUUUGGUGGUCUCUCUUUUUUGAAAUAAAUUCUUAGGGCUAUUUCUGUGCUACCCCUGUUGGGUGCUUUAGAAUGUGGAGAUUGGUGAAGAGCAGUGUGACCCAGCCUCAGGAUGGAUCCAGAUGGUCUAGAGUGGGCCAAAUUUGAAUGACUGUCCCUUUUUCUGUCCCUUUAUCCCCACUUAUCCAUUGCUUCUUGGAUAUGCACAGGCUUUUUCUAGCAGGUGUUGCAAGUGAGGCAGAGUCUUUGCUAUGAUGUCUUUAAAUCCAAAAAGUAUCCAAAGAUCACUCUUUAUUGACCUUGUGGAAUGAAUCCUCUUUAGGCAACCUGAGUACUCAGUAGCACCUCCAGUAUGAUUGGAAUGACAUAUAGGAUGUUGACAUGGCUCUUACGUAUGUGUGCCUUUCACUGUCUCCUUUGAGGGGCAUUGACUGAUUCAGUUCUGCUCAGUGGUCCUGUAUUUUUCCAGCUGUUGGAAUUGCAGAAGGCACUGAGAUAUGUCUUUGUCCUCAGCUAGCUCUCUGUGUAAGGAGCAGGCUUGGGACAGAUUCACUUACUUUGCCUCCUGUAGCAUAGUGAGGGCCAUGCUGUGGCCAUAAGUAAAUUAUGGGCAGAAAAACUUCUGCCCAGUGGGUUCCAAGAUGAUUCAUCAAGGGCUGGGGAUUUAGCUCAGCGGCAAAGCGCCUGCCUGGCAAGCGCAAGGUCGUGAGUUCGGUUCCCGGUAC
ensembl:lincRNA